UACGAAGGGCCCGAGCGUUGUGCAGAAUCACUGGGCUUAAAGGGUGUGCAGGCGGAUAUGUAAGUGUCUUGUGAAAUCCCACGGCUCAACCGUGGAACUGCUUGGCAAACUACAUAUCUUGAGCACGGCAGAGGCAGUCGGAACUCUAGGUGGAGCGGUGAAAUGCGUAGAUAUCUAGAGGAACGCCAAAGGUGAAGACAGACUGCUGGGCCGUCGCUGACGCUCAGACACGAAAGCGUGGGUAGCGAACGGGAUUAGAUACCCCGGUAGUCCACGCCGUAAACGAUGUGUACUAGAUCGAGGAGGUUUUGACGCCAUCUCGGUCGCCGCGAAAGCAUUAAGUACACCGCCUGGGGAGUACGGUCGCAAGGCUAAAACUCAAAGAAAUUGACGGGGGCUCACACAAGCGGUGGAGCAUGUGGCUUAAUUCGAAGCAACGCGAAGAACCUUAUCCAGGGUUUGACAUGUAUGGAUUAUUGAUCUGAAAAGUGAUAGACGCCCUUUGGGUGGAACAUACACAGGUGCUGCAUGGCUGUCGUCAGCUCGUGCUGUGAAGUGUCGGGUUAAGUCCCUUAACGAGCGAAACCCCUAUCGUUAGUUGCCAGCGAGUCAUGUCGGGGACUCUAACGAGACUGCCGGUGUCAAACCGGAGGAAGGUGGGGAUGACGUCAAGUCCUCAUGGCCUUUAUGCCCUGGGCUGCACACGUGCUACAAUGGCAUCGACAGAGCGACGCAAUACGGUAACGUGGAGCAAAUCGCACAAACGAUGCCUCAGUUCGGAUUGUGGUCUGCAACUCGACCACAUGAAGUUGGAAUCGCUAGUAAUCGCGUAUCAGCCACGACGCGGUGAAUGUGUUCCUGAGCCU
rnacentral:rRNA from 1 species